GUUCACUUGGAGGCUGUUUCAACAAAUACCUUUCCAUGGAAGUUUGUGUUAAAGGGAUUUUCUUAGUCUCUCCCUGUGUCUCCCUCAGAGGCCAGAGAGCAGGUUUCUAAGUAGAUCAGAACUGACAGGAGUCAGUGAGGCAGAGCUGAAGAUUCCGUUACCAGGGAGACCAGCCUGAGGAGAGGAAGUAGCCGCCCUCUGACAGGAAGUUAGGUGGGACAGUUGGUCAGUGAGGAGAUAAAGGAAGCAGCCACUGACAACUGGGGCUCUUUUGCCUCUGGGAUCUCAAGAGAGCAGAAGGUGUACAAGGAGGAAGUCUCCCCACCUUGGGGCUCCCACCCCCUGAAGGACCACAGUCUGGCCCCAGCAGAGACCCUGGAGCCAGAGGGAAUGACCCCCAGGACCCCGAGGCCCCCUUCCCAGGGGUCAAUAACAUUCAAGGAUGUGGCUGUGGACUUCACCCAGGAGGAGUGGUGCCUGUUGGACCCUUCUCAGAAAGAGCUGUACAGGGAAGUCAUGCUGGAAAAUGUGCAGAAUCUACUCUGUGGGUAAGGACCAUUUCUUCCUUUAACUAUGAAUCUGCUAUAAAGGGAAUGUAUUCAUUCCAUGCCAAAGGUGCAGAAUUUUAAGCCUUUGUCAGUGAUUAAAAAAAGCAAGAGUAUCUAUAUGAACAAAACUACAAAACACUUUCCACACAACUAAAACUAGACUUGAACAAUUGGAAGAAC